rnacentral:rRNA from 1 species
UACGAAGGGGGCUAGCGUUGUUCGGAAUCACUGGGCGUAAAGCGCGUGUAGGCGGCCUCUUCAGUCUGAUGUGAAAGCCCGGGGCUUAACCCCGGAAGUGCAUUGGAUACUGGGAGGCUGGAGUACCGGAGAGGAGGGUGGAAUUCCUGGUGUAGCGGUGAAAUGCGUAGAUAUCAGGAGGAACACCGGUGGCGAAGGCGGCCCUCUGGACGGAUACUGACGCUGAGACGCGACAGCGUGGGGAGCAAACAGG